rnacentral:rRNA from 1 species
UACAGAGGGUGCAAGCGUUAAUCGGAAUUACUGGGCGUAAAGGGUGCGUAGGUGGCUUGGUCAGUCGGAUGUGAAAUCCCGGGGCUCAACCCCGGGAACUGCAUUCGAUACUGCCAGGCUGGAGUACUGGAGAGGAGAUUGGAAUUUACGGUGUAGCAGUGAAAUGCGUAGAUAUCGUAAGGAAGACCAGUGGCGGAAGGCGGAUCUCUGGACAGUUACUGACACUGAGGCACGAAGGCCAGGGGAGCAAACGGG